rnacentral:rRNA from 1 species
GUGGGGAAUAUUGCACAAUGGGCGAAAGCCUGAUGCAGCGACGCCGCGUGAGCGAUGAAGUAUUUCGGUACGUAAAGCUCUAUCAGCAGGGAAGAUAAUGACGGUACCUGACUAAGAAGCACCGGCUAAAUACGUGCCAGCAGCCGCGGUAAUACGUAUGGUGCAAGCGUUAUCCGGAUUUACUGGGUGUAAAGGGAGCGUAGGCGGCGUGGUAAGUCAGAAGUGAAAGCCCGGGGCUCAACCCCGGGACUGCUUUUGAAACUAUCAUGCUAGAGUGUCGGAGAGGUAAGUGGAAUUCCUAGUGUAGCGGUGAAAUGCGUAGAUAUUAGGAGGAACACCAGUGGCGAAGGCGGCCAACUGGGCUUUUACUGACGCUGAGGCUCGAAAGCGUGGGGAGCAAACAGGAUUAGAUACCCUGGUAGUCC